rnacentral:rRNA from 1 species
GAUGAACGCUGGCGGCGUGCCUAAUACAUGCAAGUCGAACGCUUCACUUCGGUGAAGAGUGGCGAACGGGUGAGUAAUACAUAAGUAACCUGGCAUCUACAGGGGGAUAACUGAUGGAAACGUCAGCUAAGACCGCAUAGGUGUAGAGAUCGCAUGAACUCUAUAUGAAAAGUGCUACGGGACUGGUAGAUGAUGGACUUAUGGCGCAUUAGCUUGUUGGUAGGGUAACGGCCUACCAAGGCGACGAUGCGUAGCCGACCUGAGAGGGUGACCGGCCACACUGGGACUGAGACACGGCCCAGACUCCUACAGGAGGCAGCAGUAGGGAAUUUUCGGCAAUGGGGGAAACCCUGACCGAGCAACGCCGCGUGAAGGAAGAAGUAAUUCGUUAUGUAAACUUCUGUCAUAGAGGAAGAACGGUGGAUAUAGGGAAUGAUAUCCAAGUGACGGUACUCUAUAAGAAAG